rnacentral:rRNA from 1 species
CUGGUUGAUCCUGCCAGUAGUCAUAUGCUUGUCUCAAAGAUUAAGCCAUGCACGUCUAAGUACAUGCCGACUUAAGGCGAAACCGCGAAUGGCUCAUUAAAUCAGUUACGGUUCACUGUAUUUUAACUUCCUACUUGGAUAACUGUGGUAAUUCUAGAGCUAAUACAUGCAAAAAAGCUCCGCCCGCAAGGAACGAGCGCAUUUAUUAGAAUAAAAACCAAUCGGGUUUCGGCCCGUAAUUUGGUGAAUCUGAAUAACUUUGCCAAUCGCACAGUCCUAGUACUGGCGAUGUAUCUUUCAAGUGUCUGCCUUAUCAACUUUCGAUGGUAGGUUAUACGCCUACCAUGGUAGUAACGGGUAACGGAGAAUAAGGGUUCGACUCCGGAGAGGGAGCCUGAGAAACGGCUACCACAUCCAAGGAAGGCAGCAGGCGCGCAAAUUACCCACUUCCAGAACGGAGAGGUAGUGACGAAAAAUAACGAGACAGUCCUCUUCGAGGUCUGUCAUCGGAAUGGGUACAAUUUAAAUCCUUUAACGAGGAUCUAUUGGAGGGCAAGUCUGGU